rnacentral:rRNA from 1 species
CGCGUAGGUGGUAGUGAAAGUCUAUGGUGGAAUCUUAGGGCUUAACCCUAAAAACUGCCUUGGAAACUUCAUUACUUGAGUCAGUGAGGGGAGGGUAGAAUUCCUGGUGUAGCGGUGAAAUGCGUAGAUAUCAGGAGGAAGGCCGGUGGCGAAGGCGGCCCUCUGGCGCUGAACUGACGCUGAGGCGCGAAAGCGUGGGUAGCAAACAGGAUUAGAUACCCUGGUAGUCCACGCCCUAAACGGUGGGUACUAGGUGUAGGGCUCGUAAGGGUUCUGUGCCGAAGGGAAACCAUUAAGUACCCCGCCUGGGGAGUACGGCCGCAAGGUUGAAA